GACGAACGCUGGCGGCGUGCUUAACACAUGCAAGUCGAACGGAAAGGCCCUGCUUUUGUGGGGUGCUCGAGUGGCGAACGGGUGAGUAACAAGUGAGUAACCUGCCCCUGCCUUUGGGAUAACUUCAGGAAACUGGGUCUAAUACCGGAUAGGAGCUCCUGCUGCAUGGUGGGGGUUGGAAAGAUUCGGCGGUUGGGGAUGGACUCGCGGCUUAUCAGCUUGUUGGUGGGGUAGUGGCUUACCAAGGCUUUGACGGGUAGCCGGCCUGAGAGGGUGACCGGCCACCUUGCGCCUGCGGUACGGCCCAGACUGCUACGGGCGGCAGCAGGGGGGAAUCUUGCGGAAUGGGCGGAAGCCUGAUGCAGCAGCGCCGCGUGCGGGAUGACGGCCUUCGGGUUGUAAACCGCUUUCGCCUGUGAUGAAGCGUGAGUGACGGUAAUGGGUAAGGAAGCACCGGCUAACUACGUG
rnacentral:rRNA from 1 species